rnacentral:rRNA from 1 species
UACGAAGGGGGCUAGCGUUUCUCGGAAUCACUGGGCGUAAAGCGCACGUAGGCGGCUAUCUAAGUCGGGGGUGAAAUCCUGGAGCUCAACUCCAGAACUGCCUUCGAUACUGGGUGGCUCGAGUCCGGGAGAGGUGAGUGGAACUGCGAGUGUAGAGGUGAAAUUCGUAGAUAUUCGCAAGAACACCAGUGGCGAAGGCGGCUCACUGGCCCGGUACUGACGCUGAGGUGCGAAAGCGUGGGGAGCAAACAGG